GGAGUCUGGUCCGUGUCUCAGUACCAGUGUGGGGGACCUUCCUCUCAGAACCCCGACUGAUCGAUGGCUCGGUGGGCCGUUACCCCGCCGACUGCCUAAUCAGACGCAUCCCCAUCCAUGAGCGAUGAAUCUUUCGUGACAUAAAGAUGCCGAAAUGCCACAUAUAGUGAAUUAAUCCGACUUUCGCCGGGCUAUGCACUACUCAUGGGAAGGUUGGAUACGCGUUACUCACCCGUGCGCCGGUCGCCAUCAGAAGUUGCAAGCAACUCCCAUGAUGCCCCUCGACUUGCAUGUGUUAAGCCUGUAGCUAGCGUUCAUC
rnacentral:rRNA from 1 species